rnacentral:misc_RNA from 1 species
AAGUCGUAACAAGGUAACCGUAGGUGAACCUGCGGUUGGAUCAUUAAUGAAGGCUUUUAUGCCAAACCAGCUUUUUUAAGCUGACCCACCUUGUGUGAACCGUUAAAAUGUUUUAGGCGGAGAGGGUUUUUUAAGUUGGGGUUUGAAUACUUCUUCUUCUUUAAUCCAAAGUCUUUAAUUAGAUAACAUCUCCGCCUACUGCUAUUUUCUUGAAAAAGAAGAUGGCAAAACAAAAACAAACCUUUUAUUGUCUUUCAAAUUAUAAAUCUAAACAAAUUUUUUACAUUCUAAAAUAAAAUUUCGAAUGAAAAAACAACUUUUGACAACGGAUCUCUUGGCUCUC